rnacentral:rRNA from 1 species
GACGAACGCUGGCGGCGUGCCUAACACAUGCAAGUCGCACGGGACCGGGGCAACUCCGGUUCAGUGGCAGACGGGUGCGUAACACGUGAGGAACCUGUCCAACGGCGGGGGAUAGCCGGCCUAACGGCCGGGUAAUACCGCGUACGAUCGUCCGGGGGCGAUCCCUGGGCGAUGAAAGCAGCCGCAAGGUUGCGCCGAUGGAGGGCCUCGCGGCCUAUCA